AAUGAUUCACUUUUUGUUCUAUUUGUUGCCCAUCUCUUCAUCAAGUGAAGCCGGAUCUCCUACAACAUGCUUAUGAUUGGUUAGACCUUGUAUGCACCAUAACACUGGCAUCCCCACCACUAUAACUCCAACUACGAACAUUAGCACUAUCUCCUUCACACUCAUCCACAUCAAACUUUGUUUCAAUUUCACCUUCAACAACAUCAUCACCCUCACAUCUUUCUUCUGAAGCAGGAACACUUUCUUCACAGUCACCCUUCUCAACAUGACCAUGAACUUCACCUUUCUCAACUUCCACGUCAUUCACC
rnacentral:lncRNA from 1 species